AGAGUUUGAUCCUGGCUCAGGAUGAACGCUGGCGGCGUGCCUAAUACAUGCAAGUCGAGCGGUAACAGGAGAAGCUUGCUUCUCGCUGACGAGCGGCGGACGGCUGAGUAACACGUAGGAACGUACCCCAAAGUGAGGGAUAAGCACCAGAAAUGGUGUCUAAUACCGCAUGUGCUCUAAGGAGUAAAGCUUCGGCGCUUUGGGAACGGCCUGCGUCUGAUUAGCUUGUUGGUGAGGUAAUAGCUCACCAAGGCGACGAUCAGUAGCUGGUCUGAGAGGAUGAUCAGCCAGACUGGGACUGAGACACGGCCCAGACUCCUACGGGAGGCAGCAGUAGGGAAUUUUCCACAAUGGGCGAAAGCCUGAUGGAGCAACGCCGCGUGCAGGAUGAAGGCCCUCGGGUCGUAAACUGCUUUUCUCUGUGACGAUUAUGACGGUAGCAGAAGAAUAAGGAUCGGCUAACUCCGUGCCAGCAGCCGCGGUCAUACGGAGGAUCCGAGCGUUAUCCGGAAUUACUGGGCGUAAAGAGUUGCGUAGGUGGCAGAGUAAGUAGAUAGUGAAAUCGUGUGGCUCAACCAUACAUCCAUUAUCUAAACUGCUCAGCUAGAGGAUGAGAGAGGUUAUUGGAAUUCCCAGUGUAGGAGUGAAAUCCGUAGAUAUUGGGAGGAACCCGAUGGCGUAGGCAGAUAACUGGCUCAUUCCUGACACUAAGGCACGAAAGCGUGGGGAGCAAACGGGAUUAGAUACCCCUGUAGUCC
rnacentral:rRNA from 1 species